UUUCUAUUCUGCAGAGGCUACUGUGUAUGUGAGCCUGGUGGCCUGACCAUCAUUAUAAGCCUUAGAGUGUGUCUUCUACUGGUGAGGAAAAGAGUCGCUCCAGGCAAGAAGACCCAGAGCCAUCAACACUGAAACAAAAGGCAAAGGAGGUCACUGCUGACAUUCUCAAAUCUUAUCUUCACCUGCUUGAACAUAGGGGAAUUUGGACUUCACAGAUGUCAAGAUACAGAGAGAACAUCAUCUACAAACCAAGGAACGACUGAGACCACCAGGUCUAGGAGAGAGGUUUCCUGCCGCCCGCCGCGAGCGAUGGAGUCAGUCAAACUGAAGAGAAGUCUCCGCUCUACCUUCGUGAGCCUCAGUUUCUUCAGCUGCCAAAUGGGAGUGACCGCUGACCGC